rnacentral:rRNA from 1 species
UAGGGAAUCCUCCACAAUGGACGCAAGUCUGAUGGAGCAACGCCGCGUGAGUGAAGAAGGGUUUCGGCUCGUAAAGCUCUGUUGUUAAAGAAGAACGUGGGUAAGAGUAACUGUUUACCCAGUGACGGUAUUUAACCAGAAAGCCACGGCUAACUACGUGCUAG